AUGAACGCUGGCGGCGUGCCUAAUACAUGCAAGUCGAACGAAACUUCUUUAUCACCGAGUGCUUGCACUCACCGAUAAAGGGUUGAGUGGCGAACGGGUGAGUAACACGUGGGCAACCUGCCCAAAAGAGGGGGAUAACACUUGGAAACAGGUGCUAAUACCGCAUAACCAUAGUUACCGCAUGGUAACUAUGUAAAAGGUGGCUAUACUACCGCUUUUGGAUGGGCCCGCGGCGCAUUAGCUAGUUGGUAGGGUAAAGGCUUACCAAGGCAAUGAUGCGUAGCCGAAUUGAGAGGUUGAUCGGCCACAUUGGGACUGAGACACGGCCCAAACUCCUACGGGAGGCAGCAGUAGGGAAUCUUCCACAAUGGGCGAAAGCCUGAUGGAGCAACGCCGCGUGGGUGAAGAAGGUCUUCGGAUCGUAAAACCCUGUUGUUAGAGAAGAAAGUGCGUGAGGGUAACUGUUCACGUUUCGACGGUAUCUAACCAGAAAGCCACGGCUAACUACGUG
rnacentral:rRNA from 1 species